CAAUAGCGUAUAUUAAAGUUGUUGCGGUUAAAAAGCUCGUAGUUGAAAGGUGACAGGUUUGCAUUUCCUCCGGCCACGUCAGGUGCUGUCUCUCCUUCGUCUCUUUGAGUUGGAGAUCAGUGCUGUGGUCGAGUGCGAGAUCACCUGUAUUGCACAAUUCACGCGUGAUUACUUGAUUGUAUUACGUGGGUUUUGUGCCUGUUACUUUGAGGAAAUUAGAGUGUUCCAAGCAAUCACCUGUUGUGCAUAUAGUAGCAUGGAAUAACAUCUCAUAACUUCAAUGUUGGUUGUUGGUUUACGGUGUUGAAGUGAUGAUGAAUAGAAACUGAUGGGGGCACUCGUACUUGACAGUCAGAGGUGGAAUUCUUGGAUUUGUCAAAGACGAACAACUGCGAAAGCAUUUGCCACGGAUGUUUUCAUUGA
rnacentral:rRNA from 1 species